rnacentral:rRNA from 1 species
UACGAAGGGAGCUAGCGUUGUUCGGAAUCACUGGGCGUAAAGCGCGUGUAGGCGGCUUUGCAAGUCGGGUGUGAAAGCCCUCAGCUUAACUGAGGAAGUGCGCCCGAAACUGCAGAGCUUGAGUACCGGAGAGGGUGGCGGAAUUCCCCAAGUAGAGGUGAAAUUCGUAGAUAUCGAGAGGAACAUCGGUGGCGAAGGCGGCCUUCUGGACAGUGACUGACGCUGAGACGCGAAAGCGUGGGGAGCAAACAGG